rnacentral:rRNA from 1 species
GUGGGGAAUUUUGGACAAUGGGCGCAAGCCUGAUCCAGCCAUGCCGCGUGCAGGAUGAAGGCCUUCGGGUUGUAAACUGCUUUUGUACGGAACGAAAAGACUCCUUCUAAUAAAGGGGGUCCAUGACGGUACCGUAAGAAUAAGCACCGGCUAACUACGUGCCAGCAGCCGCGGUAAUACGUAGGGUGCAAGCGUUAAUCGGAAUUACUGGGCGUAAAGCGUGCGCAGGCGGUGAUGUAAGACAGAUGUGAAAUCCCCGGGCUCAACCUGGGAACUGCAUUUGUGACUGCAUUGCUGGAGUGCGGCAGAGGGGGAUGGAAUUCCGCGUGUAGCAGUGAAAUGCGUAGAUAUGCGGAGGAACACCGAUGGCGAAGGCAAUCCCCUGGGCCUGCACUGACGCUCAUGCACGAAAGCGUGGGGAGCAAACAGGAUUAGAAACCCCGGUAGUCC